GUUACUACUGGAGAUGGACCUCCAGUUCCAGAAGGUGGACCAGUGCUUACAACUGGAGAUGGUGUUCCUGUUGCAGAAGGUAGACUUGUGGUUAAUACUGAAGAUGGACCUCCAGUUGCAGAAGGUGGACCAGUGCUUACAACUGGAGAUGGUGUUCCUGUUGCAGAAGGCUGACUUGUGGUUAUUGCUGGAGAUGGUCCUCCAGUUGCAGAAGGUGGACCAGUGCUAACAACCGGAGA